rnacentral:rRNA from 1 species
UACAGAGGUCUCAAGCGUUGUUCGGAUUCAUUGGGCGUAAAGGGUGCGUAGGCGGCGCGGUAAGUCGGGUGUGAAAUCUCGGAGCUUAACUCCGAAACUGCAUUCGAUACUGCCGUGCUUGAGGACUGGAGAGGAGGCUGGAAUUUACGGUGUAGCGGUGAAGUGCGUAGAUAUCGUAAGGAAGACCAGUGGCGAAGGCGGGUCUCUGGACAGUUCCUGACGCUGAGGCACGAAGGCCAGGGGAGCAAACGGG